rnacentral:lncRNA from 1 species
CUUAAGCGUUAACCACAGCCUAGACUCCCGUUCAGCAGUCCCUCAAGUGCCCGGCGCCCCUUUCAAGGGAGCCUGUAGGGUCCUCUUGGGCAAGGCCCAGGCGCAUCAUGACAGUUUGCAUGCGCUGUGGUUUGGGGAGGUCUUUCUCCAGGUGGUGAACCAGAGGUCAAAGGCUGGCUCAGGCGUCUGCAGGUCCUCUUUCCCCCUCACUACCCAGCCCACUGGCUUGCAAGGAUUCCACCCACCUGGCUUUGAUUUGUAGAAAUGGAAUCACACAGUAUGUGGCCUCUUGUGACAGGCUUCCUUCACUCGGCAUCUUCUUU